GAAGGGAUAGCUCAGUGGUAGAGUGUGUGUUUAGCUUGCACGAGGUCCUGGGUUCAAUCCCCAGUACCUCCA
rnacentral:tRNA from 1 species